UUUUUGUUCCUUUUUUUCUUUUUCCUUUUUUAAUUUUUCUUUCUUUCUGGCUGAAACCCUCUUUACCAGGCAGCCUCACUAAUUCCAUCUAUAUCUGCUCUUCUGGCUCCAAGAUGACAGAGAGGAAUCAGAAUCCCAGCCUGGUUUGGGUUGGAAAGUUGGAUUUUAAGGCUUUUGGACUUAGAGCAGUAUCAGAUUUUCAAGGCCAGAGCUCCCAGUGUGGUUUGGACUGAUCUUCAGAAGCGAGUGUGCAGACUGCUGGACACCAUCCCACGGGAGGCUGCUGCCCAGCUCAGGGACUGUGCCAUGGACCUGGAUUCCAGGCAGAAAUUCCUCCCUGGCUCUGCUCCCUGGGCUGCAAAGACAAAGCAGAAUUCCACAGUUUUGGAAAAUCAUGGGAACAGAGGCAUUUCCCAGCCCUGCCCGAGAUGUGUUGCUGGAGAAUCUGGCCACUUCAGUCACAUCCUGGGCUUCUAGAAACGGAGCUGGGGCAGAGGAGCAGCCCUGAAUUCCUGCUGGGAGCCUGAGGAUGCAGCUGGAUCCUGGAUCCUGCCCUGGGGACACUCAGGCCUCCUUUAGCUGAUGUUUUACACCUGUUCAAAACUCUGCUGCUCCUCAGGGAGCUCAGAAUUCAUUUAAAAAUGACAAGAAAAGGCUGAUUUCAUGUUUAGAUAGCUCAGAAUUGUCUAAAAAG